rnacentral:lncRNA from 1 species
GAGCAACAAAUUUCAGUCAUCUAUAACAAACCUAGCAUAAACUUUCUUCCGAGUAAUCUCAAUGAUCUUGUGAAGUUGCAACAUGUUAAUAGUGUAUAUUUAUAUACCGGCAAUUCGGCAUACAAUUACACUUGCAAUCUAUAUAUAUAUAUAAAAGCUCAACCUGAGCCUAUUUGAGCCAUUUUGGCGGGAAAAUGGGGAAACCUUUUAACCAGUGUGUUUUAAUUUUUGAUCAAGUCUGCUGUGUAAAGUUCUAAAUAUUCAACAGAUUUUUUGUAAUACUUGGGCCCCAAACAAUUUAGGCUGCAUUUAUAAAACUUAACCCCCAAGCAUGGAGCCAAAACUCAAUUUCGAAUUUCAAAAUACAUACUAAAAUUUGUCUAUAAAUACAUGCAUCAUCUGAUCAUUUUUUCUGUUCAAAAAAGGUUCACAAUGCAGAUUUUCUCUCUCUAAGAUCCAUUGUUCUAAUUCAUUUUGAUCUUCUUUUAAUUUUAGGGUUUUUAUAUCUUUAUUUGGUACUUUUAUUUUUAUUUGUUUGGAAUGUGCCUAUUUACUAUUAAUCUCAAUUACAACUCAAAUACUAAGAUCUACUAACACUUAUUUCAAUUUUAUACAUAGCUAAUAUUUAUGAAUUUUCUCCACAGAUGAAGACUUGCUGUCAUUGGAGAAUGGAAGUAUUAUCUCUGAGAAUGGAAGUAUUAUCUCUAAGAUCUGCAGAAGCAACAAAAGAAAAUGUUGUUAGUGUAAUUUUUAUAUUAGCUAAACUGUUGCCCAUCAUAUUCAUGUUAUGUUGCACAAUAGAAAUUAUAUAUGAAUAUUUACCAUUUUCUCUCAUAUUAUGUUAUUUGGCACAAGAGAAAAUAUAUGAAUAUUUAUCAUUUUCAUUUGUGCAAUAUUGCAAGGAGAAAAGAUUACAUAUCAUGUUAUACAAUUUCUCAAUUUCUCAACAAGACGUAUAAAUAUUCUCAAACUUUUUUGCCACAAAUGAAUACUAAGUAGAAUAUAUUUGAUGCAAGCAGGAAGAUAAGAGUGUUGAAAGGAAUAUUUUCGGAUUGCCACCAUAAGAUUAAAAAAAUAUAUUAUUGUUUUCAGCUCUAUUUAUUUUGCUUAUUAAAAGACAUUCAAAAUGAACAACCUAGCAGCAAAAACAGUUGUUUAAGAUGGAAAAACAUACAAAAAUUUGUAUUUUUUGAAUAUGCAUGUAUAGAUAGAAAGGGAUAGACAAAGAAUCUAAAGCUACCUGAUUCCACUUUUUGGCUUCAAUUCCACUAUAAUUGGCAACACAAGGGAAAUGAAGCUGAGGAAUUUCCGGCCACAACCCUGUAGGAAAUUUUGAAGUCAAGGAAAAGUUUGAGAAAGAUCAAACACAUAACUAGAAAAAAAUAGGGUAUUUCUCUAAAGAUCAAGGAGGAUAACUAUAGAACAUCCAUCAUUUCACUAUAUGAGACUACUGAGAACAAGAAUCCAAUUACCAUGGUUUAACUUCAUGCAGUUUUAAAAUAGGUAAGAUAUUUUGUAAGAUAAGGGCACCCUGCCCUUAUCACAGAACAAGAAUCCAUAUUUUUAUAAUAAAUCUUACAAAAUAUAAUAUUUAAUCUUUAAUAAAAUACAUACAUCUCAAUCACAAGUAUCAUACAUUAUUUCAUACCUAGAAAAUUAAGCCUAAACAUACAUACAAUUUGGGGAAAAAAAUAAUUUUUCAAAAAAACAUAUAGCACCUUCAUAUCACACGAGAUUACUACCACAUCUCUUUUUCUUUUUGUUUAACUAACAUUUAAGAAAAAUGCCAGCAUGAGAGAAAAUGGCCACUUCUUAAUUUCUCUAUAUUUCAAUUUCCAGACAAAGUAAAACAAAACUACUGAGCAUAAGAAGAAAUUAGUACCUGAGCCACAUCAAUACUCAUCUUUUCGAAAAUACCUUUGCUAAUGAAAUAGCAAAGGUAUCAUCACUUUUUUGCAAGCGAUUUUCACUCAGAGCAAACACAUAAAAUAGUAUAGGUAUCAUCAGUCAGAGCUAAUGAAAUACAUUUUCUAAUUAAAUAGCAAAUGCAUAAAAUAGGCAUUGGAGAUGUUACAUCAGCCAGGGGAGUUUAAUUCAAAAUGAAGGUAGUGAUGAUACCUUCACCCAGAGGCGUUAGAGUGAUACCACAUAAUACCUAUCUCUUUUUCCUCCAUGUUCAUCCAGCGCCGACAUCAGCAACUACAAAAUAUAGAUAAUCAAACAAAGCAAAUAUCAGUUGUGUUUUCUUGGCAGAAACAUGACCCAAGAAAGUUUAGCAGGUUAGGAAGUUGUAAAAAUCAGCAAGGAAGUUGUAAAAAUCAACAAGAAUGUAAAUCAAUACUACACAUUGUCGAAAGAUAAUGAAUUUGUGUGUAUAUUCCUAGAUCUACAUGCGAAAAAAACAAAGAUGUUCAUAGAUCUAAAAAAUCAGAUGCCAAAAACAAAUGCUAAAAAAUAAUGGCAAAAUCAGAUGCCAAAACCAGAUCAGCAAAUCAUUUUUUCUGUUCAUAAAGAUGUUCAAAAUCUGCAAAAAUAUAUAGAGAUGCCAAAAGAUAAUAUCAUAAAGAUGUUCAUAAUCUGCCUAAAUAAUGCAGUAAAUAUCAGAGUAUGUGCCAUCUUCGAAAAACAAUGGGCAACGCCGCUAUUUUUGAUAAAGCAUAAAACUUACAAAUGAGAAAGGGGACGAUAUCUGGAGCCUAGGGCUUGGGCGACUCCGUCGUUUGAAAACCGGACGGCGGUGGCUGGAUACGGGCUGCGCAGAGGGAGGCCGCAGCGCAUUCGUCGUCACCGAGGAGGAAGGCGACGCCGCCUAGAUGUGACGGCGGAGUCGGUGGUUUGGACUAGGUAGAGUGAUUGAGAGGGAGAAAAUCGGCGUCGUCCUAAACCACCAGAGGGGAAAAGGGAGAGUGAGCGGCGCAUUUGGAAGGAGGAGGAAGGUUUGGUCGGGAGAAGAAAACCGAGAGAUGUAGCAGAAGACAGAGGAAGGUUUGGGAUAGAAAAGGAACGAGGGAGAAGAUGAAGGGAGUAGCGGCGCUGAUUCAUCUUCAAACCCUAAAAUGAGAGAGUAUUUGAGCAAUGAACCCUAAAAGGGUGUAGAAGGUUCUCGAUAGGCUCUGGGCUGUAUUGAUUUAUUUUUUCU